UCUUGUACUCACCGCCCGUCACGUCAUGGAAGCUAGAGGCGCCCGAAAUCUCUCAAACAAUCAGAGGGCCUAAGGUGAAACUAGUGACUGGGACG
rnacentral:rRNA from 1 species